rnacentral:rRNA from 1 species
GACGAACGCUGGCGGCGUGCUUAACACAUGCAAGUCGAACGGAAAGGCCCUGCUUUUGUGGGGUGCUCGAGUGGCGAACGGGUGAGUAACACGUGAGUAACCUGCCCUUGACUUUGGGAUAACUUCAGGAAACUGGGGCUAAUACCGGAUAGGAGCUCCUGCUGCAUGGUGGGGGUUGGAAAGUUUCGGCGGUUGGGGAUGGACUCGCGGCUUAUCAGCUUGUUGGUGGGGUAGUGGCUUACCAAGGCUUUGACGGGUAGCCGGCCUGAGAGGGUGACCGGCCACAUUGGGACUGGGAUACGGCCCAGACUCCUACGGGAGGCAGCAGUGGGGAAUAUUGCACAAGGGGUGGAAGCCUGAUGCAGCAACGCCGUGUGCGGGAUGACGGCCUUCGGGUUGGAAACCGCUUUCGCUCAUGACGAAGCUUUGUGUGACGGUAGUGGGUAAAGAAGCACCGGCUAACUACGUG